AAUUUAUUUUUAAAUUUUUUAAAUAAGAUGUCAUAAUCUAAGUUUUUAAUAAUGUAUAUUCAUAAUUAUAUAAAAAAAUUAAAUAAAGUUGUACAGCCCAAUUUUAGGCCCAAAAUUAAAAUAACCCCAAACCCAAUACUCAGAUUAAACCACAAUCCUUAGCCCAAACAAAUCAAAACCCUAGCCCAACCCAAACACAAACAAAAGAAAGACGCUAAGAAAACCCUAAGUUGCUUCAGCCACUUGCUCCCUGUCCCAUCCACCACCGCCUUUGCUCCCACCGACAGGUCAAGUCCACCGCCAUUCACCUGCAAGCAUUAAACGAGAGAAGACAGAAAGCAAAAAGGAGCAGUGUGCACAAAUAUAUAAACCAAAACGAAAUUGUAAAAAGCAUUCGGUUUUUUCGGUGAGAAAUAAAAAGAAGCACUUAAUUUUAAAACACAAAAUCAGUAAGUCAAAGGCACAAAAUAUCCAAUCAAGAGAAAAACAUUAAAAGAAGAAACGAAAACAUAGAAUCAAAAAUUAGGGGAACAAAAGAUGAUUUCAUUUUCUUUCGAUUUGUUUCGUUUUUCUUUCUUUUCUAUUUUCCACGCCCUUUUAUUCGCAUAUAUUCAUAUAUUGUAAACAAAAAUAAUGAUAGAAAAAAAGAAGAAAAAAUAUACCUUCUGGGAAUUUCGACCACCGCGUGCGGUGGCAGGCGACGGUGGCGGAUCGGCAACGGCGGGAGCGCGUGGUGGCCCUCCUCGCCGGAAUCUGGGGUUUUCCCAGAGAGAAGGGAAGAACUCUUCCCUUUAUUUUUCUGAAGCAGCAAAAGAAUGCUUGUUUUUAAAAAUUUUUGGGUUUAUAUAAUGGCAUAAUACGGCGUCGUUUUGGGCCUUAACUCACAGCACCAAAACGACACCGUUUCACGUGACCCGUGUGCGACCCGACCCGAUGCCUGAGGAUCCGCGUGUUUCCACCGUCUGGGAUAAUUGCUCGCGUGGCCCCUCCCCAUUUCUGCUAUGUUUUAAUCCGAUUUUCGCCCAUUUCUUAAAUCCGCCUUUUAACUUUAAUUUUGUUUCAAUUCGGACCUCGGGUCAUUUGACGAUUAGACAUCUGAUGGUGUCGUUUUGGGUGUCGGAACAUUGCCCCAUAUAGCCCCUGUGCCUUCUCGUGUGUUGCAAUUUCGUCCCAUCUCGAUUUGUCCCAAAAGUUCCAUUUUUAAUUCAAUUUCGUCCCUCUCUUAUUUUAUUUUAUUUUAAUAUUAUUCAUGCCAUUAUAUUUUAUUACUGUUAUAUUUUUAUUUACUAACAUCUCAUUUUUAUUUAAUACUUACAUAUAUAUGUUAUAAAGUAUUAUUAAUAGCUUAAUAUUAUUGUUUUAUUAAUGCCUUUGUAUGUCACACAUGUAUUUCUUCAAUAUAUACAUACAUUAUUUUCCAUAUUACGCAUGUAUUAAUAUUAUACCACGUAUAUAUAUUUUUUAUAUAUAGCAUUGUUUAUUUUUAUUUUUAUUAUAUUUGCUCUUUGUAUUUCUAUAUUAUUAUUAUUAUUAUUAUUAUUAUUAUUAUUAUUAUAUAGUAGUGUGUAUUUUCAUUAUAUAUAUAUUGAUAUACGGUAUUACUUUUGUUUACUUUACUUUAAUAUUAUUAUUACCAUUAUCAUCCUUAUUGUAAUUACUAUUACCAUUAUUAGUAUUAGCAUUUUUCAUCAAUACUUAUAUGCAUGUAGUUUAAUACCAUUUUUAACGCCAUGCAUGUUGUGUAUAUUCUUAAAACUGUAUUAUGUACAUAUAUUUUAAUAUCACGUAUAUUCUUAUUAUUAUUUCUAUUUUUUCAUAUAUAUUUCAAUACAUGCAUGUAUGCAUUUAUGUAUCGUUAUUAUUAGUUACUCUUGUAUAUAUUAUCACUGUUUUUAAUAAAUAUUAUAUUUUUAUUUUUAAUCUAGUACUACGUAUUUUACAUAUAUAUGUUCCCUGUUAUUUCAUAUUUACAUUAUUACCAUCAUUUUAAUGUUUAAUACCAUAUAUUAUUUUAUACUGUCAUUAUUCAUAUAAUUAUUAUAAUCAUCGAUUUCGUUAUCAUUACCAUUUUUAUUUUGCGAUAUUUUAUUCAUUUUUAUUUUAUUAAUUUACUUAUGUGUUCGGCCAUUUUAUUUUCCUCACGCAUUUGUUUAUAUUUACAUAUUACUAACCUUGCUUAUAUGUCAUCUUUUUAUAAUUGCUCGUUAUUGUCACUCAUUAUUAUACGUUAUUAUUAAUAUCAUAAUCUGCUUUUAUAUAUUACUAUAAACCACAUUAUGUUUUUACUCAAUGCCUUAAAAUAAUUCUUUCAUAAAAGUGAUAUUCCGUAUUCGGUAAUUCGAGAUAGUUGUGCCCUAACUUACUGGGUUUCGAUUUUUCUCAUUUAACCUAAAUAACGAAAUACUCUUUUAAAUCGCUAUACGAGUUUUGAAAAUACUUAUUCUCGGAGAUACGAAGUGUUGUGCCCUAACUUACCGGGUAUGACAUUUUAUCACCUCGAAAUAAGAAUUUGUUUUAAAAUAAAGGCAAUAUUCGGUGUUUGAGAAUUCGAGAAAACGUACCUUAACUUACUGGGUUUCGAUUUCUCUUAUUUACUCUAAAUAAUCGAAUCCCCUUUUAAUAAAUUAAAAUAUGUAAAUUUUAUACAAAAGACAAGCUCGCUCUCGAAAAUUCAAGAUGUUGUGUCCUAACUUACUGGAUGUGACCUUUUAUAUUUUGAGACGAGAGGGUCUUUAACACUUGAACAUUUUUAUAAAGAAGGAUCGUAUUUUAAAUUUUUUCAAGUUUUCAAAUUUUCGACACUAAGACACUAAUUAAUCAACUAGGUACCAAUUUUUGGGCGUAUCGAGGGUGCUAAUCCUUCCUCGUGCGUAACCGACUCCCAAACUCAUUUUUUGAUUUUCGUAUACUAGAAAUUAUCGUUUUCGUAAAUCUUAACUUUUAUUAAAAUGAUUAAUUUGAGGUGACCUGAUCACACCUCAUCAAAAAGGAUUGGUGGCGACUCCUCUGUUCGUUUUUAUUUUCAAAAUCCAAGUCAAUUCUCGUUUUUCAAAAAAAAAUGGUUACGACAGCUUGGCGACUCCACUGAGGAAUCAAAUAAGAGAGUCAAGCCACAAGUUGAUUAACUCUUGUCUUUUUAUCGAAAAUUGGAAAUUUGGUUUUGAAAUAUGAUCAUUUCAUUGCAUUUCAUCAGCUAUUUUUUUGUGGUAUAUGAUACAAUACCUGCUGCGUUGGUUCGAGUCUUUAAGUAGUUUGCAUUGCAUUGCAUGACCGCUGUGGUCACACCCCUUUAAGUGGGAGUGAGAAACUACUCCUUCGUGAGGUUUUCACCUCCGUGCAGGAUAGUGGAUCGCUUUCGGGAUACAUCCGUACCUAUGUCUUCGUGAGAUUUUCAUCUCCGUGCAGCCAUAGGGAAACGUAUUCCCCUGAACUGAACUCGGUCUGUAUGAGCCUAUAUGGGGUGAAAAUCGAGGAAUCUGCUGGUUCAGGUACCCUUACUCUAGAACCAAACCCCAUAUAGCGAGCCUUAAGAACCCACCUUAGGUAGAGCCACUCCGAAACCCUAGUGGUUUCCUGAGCAAGUGCUAUGUUUAUUAUUCUUUGUUUGCUUUGAACUGCGUAUGAAAUACUGACUUGCUUUAUUUUACUUUGAUUGUAUUUGCAUGACAUUUUCAUCACAAAAUGUGUUGAUUCGCAUUCGGUUUCUAAAUAGAUAGCUUAUCAUGGAAAAGGGGUUUUUUGAUAAAGUAGAAGACAACGCGACUGUCCGGAUAUGGGUUGAGACAACACAACAAGAGAAAGGUGACAGUCUUACCGAGGGGUACGUGUUAGAGUUAUGGAAUUUUACUCGGAUCAGCGUAACUCAGAAUAAUCUCUAAGAGAUGAAAGAAAUUUGGGGUCAGUGGGAUGAUGAGGUCAAACAGCUAUUUUAUUGUCAUUACGGUGAUUUACCUUAUCUGCUCGAUGUCAAGGUAGAUGAACACCUAUUUCGAGCCCUUGCCCAAUAUUGGAAUUCUGCUUACAGUUGCUUCACUUUCGGGAAAGUAGACUUGGUACCUACUAUAGAAGAAUACACGACCUUGCUCCAUUGCCCAAAGAUUCAGGUUGAUAGAAUUUAUUCCAGACCCGCUAACGUCCCAGCAUUUUCAAAAAAGCUGAUGAACAUCACAGGAAUGAGCGAACAGUGGGUGACAACCCGGAUCAAACAAAAAGAAGAUUGUAAAUGCAUUCAUUGGAGGAACCUGAGGGAUCUAAUCUUAGCACACCCCGACGUGAAGAAAAGGGUAGAUGUCUUCGUCUUGAGCAUUUAUGGACUGGUUAUCUUCCCCAAGGCUUUGGGGCAUGUAGACGAGGCUGUUUCUGACCUUUUUGACAGGCUUGGUAAAAGAACCACACCUGUACCCGCAAUCUUGGCUGAAACUUUCAGAUCAUUGAAUGCUUGUAGAAGAGCGGGUGAAGGGAGAUUUAUUGGAUGUGCACAACUCUUGCUAUCUUGGUUCCACAGCCAUUUUUGGAAAGUGGAAAAGGUUUCAUAUCGUAUCUUCUCUGAAAAUUACUCUCCACUGAAAGAGUUAGUGGCAACACCGAGGCGAGAUGAUGUUACAGAAGAAAAUUGGAUCACGGUCCUCCAAAAUUUACGAGAAGAAGACGUUGAAUGGAGAGCCCCGUGGAUAGUUCCUAAUGAAAUAUUAUACCAAUGCGGAGAUUUCGAUUGGGUUCCCUUGUUAGGAGUAUGGGGAGCCGUUGGAUAUGCUCCUCUGCUUGCAUUAAGACAGUACAGAUCCAAACAAUUUACACCACCAACAUACGGGUUAGCCCAGUGCGAGUUCGUGUUCACAGGGAAUAAUUACAAAAAGAAGGUUCGCGAGAUAUCAAAUGCCUGGAACCAGACUCGUAGAAUGAAAAAGUUUGCUGCCAAUCCCAUGACUACUCCUGAGUACGACCGAUGGUGGAAUCAGAGGAUUAAUGACAACAUCCUACAUCAGAUCAAGGGAAUCCUCAGUCGAUAGAAGAACACUUGAAAGUAAUCCCAUCUGAGCUAGAAAUCAUCAGGAAAGAUUUUGAGAGGAAGAGUCUAGAGCUAGAAAAAAGGAUCGAGCAGUUGGAAGAAGAAAAGAUGCAGCUAAGGUUAGAUGUUGAUGUCCAGAAACUAGAAGCUAAAAGACUCAGAAAAGGAAAAAAUAAGGCUGAAGAGGACUUGGACAGUUUGAAAACGGACUAUAAGAAGCUGCGCAGAUCAAUGAGAACCACUAGGUUAGGAAAAAUAUCCGAACAGUGGCGACAUAAAGUUAAAGAAGAACAAAGAAAAGCCAACCAGUGGGAAGAAAAACUUCGCGAUGCUCAAGCUCGAGAAGGUGCUCUGGAAAGAAGUUUGGUAGAAAGCCAGAAUGAGAAAGAAGGGUUAAAGAUCCGGGUAUCAGAGUUAGAGAAGUUAUUGUAUCAUUAUCGCUCAUGUAACUUUACAAUCGAGUUGAAAGCUAGUCAGAACAGAAUCGAAGAAUUAAAAGAAAAUAUAGAAGAACUCAAAACAGCGCUGCAAAAUCGUGAACUUCAAAUAGAACUCCUCGAGGUGAAUAACGAGCGAUGAAAGGAGCAACUUCAUCAAUCUCAAGACCAAGUCAGGAGCAGGGACUACGUCAUGGGCGAAGCUUUGACUCAAGUGGGAGAUGUGGCUGAUCACUUGCAAACAUUAGUAGUACAAGCCGAUGUGCUAAGUUUAAAAUACGAGUCAGAAUCGGACUGAGGCCGAGAGCUAGCUUGGCUUCUUAGGCAGGUCAAGGCCUUAAGUAUCAGGGCCAAGCCUUAUAUUUAAUCUAUUUUAUGUAAAGAAAUUUUUUUUCUAGAAAUGUUACUCUAAUGAAAUCGAAUUGGAAUCAACGUUUUUUUUUUGCAUUCAUUGCAUUUAUUGCAUUCAUGCAUCAGCAUUGCAUCAUACGCACUAAAACUCACAAGAAACCCUAAAAAUCAUGGUAGUUACCCUGAAACAUCGUUACGGUACAAGAGGAAAAACAAGAGCAAUGGACCAAAGGUUAGAGAGAUUGGAACAAAUGCAAAAAGAGAUGCAGGAUCAAUUACAAGCACGUAUGCAAGAACAGCUUGCCAAAAUCCAGUAAGAUAUGAGGGACCAUAUGUUGGAGUCCCAGAAAAGCAUGAUGGACCAAUUAACUCGUCUACUGGCUGGCGGAUUAGAAAAAGGGAAAUGCCUUUUGAUCAAUGCGGGAGAAGAUAAUGAAGAUCCUACCUACCUUCCGGGUUUUGCCCCAGCAGACAUUCAGACACAACCUGACAUGUACCCAAGAAGGCCAUCGGUCACAAUUAGGCCCCAACCAUUUCAGGCCGGUGUUUCGACACCAAUAAAUUAUCAGGCCAGCUCGGGCUCUAAUCCAAGGGACAACCCAACCAACCCUGUGGUCCUCAAUCUCGAUGAAGUAACAGAAGUAGAAAAGACAAGGGUAGAACUCCCGAGAGAGCUUGAAGAAAGGUGUAGAUGGUUGGAAGAAAAAUUUAAAGAAAUGAAAAGCACCGAUUAUCGUGGUGGAAUUGAUGCUAAGGAAUUAAGUUUGGUUCUGGACCUGGUACUCCUUCACAAGUUCAAAAUUCCAGAAUUUGAGAAAUACAAUGGGACUAGCUGUCCCGAAGCUCACAUCACUAUGUUCUGCAGACGGAUAGCAGGCCAUGUCAAUAAUGACCAACUAUUAAUUCACUGCUUCCAAGAAAGUCUGGUUGGGGCCGCUUCUAGAUGGUACAACCAACUGAGUCGCGCCCAGAUCAGUUCAUGGAAAGAUUUAGCACAAGCCUUCAUGAAGCAGUACGGUCAUGUGGCAGACAUAGCCCCUCAUAGAAUCACUUUACAGAAUAUAGAGAAAAAACAUAAUGAGAGCUUUAGGUAGUACGCCCAGCGAUGGAGAAAAGUGGCCACACAAGUCCAACCCCCUCUGUUGGAAAAGGAAACCACUAUGCUCUUCAUCAAUACCCUGGAAGCACCUUUUAUUAACCACAUACUGGGUAGCGCAACCAAGAGUUUUUCGGACAUAGUAAUGUCUGGAGAAAUGAUAGAAAAUGCCAUAAGAUGUGGGAAAAUAGAGGCUAGGGAAAACGCCAAGAGGUCAGCACCGAGAAAGAAAGAGCACGAGGUGAAUAAUGUGAGCUCAUAUUCGAAAUCGAUCACCGUAAGCCAACCAAGGUCGACAACUACUGGACAGCAGGGCCCACCCAGACAAGAGCCCAACACAAAACAAAAUAGGGAGAAACUCCAAUUUACGCCCAUACCAAUGACGUACAAGGAGUUAUACUAAAGUUUAUUUGAUGCACAUGUCGUGUCUCCCUUCUAUCUAAAGUCAAUGCAACCUCCAUACCCCAAAUGGUAUGACGCAAAUGCCCAAUGCGAAUACCAUGCGGGAGCUACAGGACACUCGAUAGAAAACUGCACCACUUUCAAGAAAUUGGUUGAAAGACUCAUCAACAUAGGGAUUGUGAAAUUUGAUGAUGCAUCCAGUACAGAGAAUCCAUUACCUAACCAUGGGGAUAAGGGAAUAAAUGUGGUAACCGAGAGUUUGGGGAAAAAAAUUAAGACGAAUGUUGCCGAAGUGAAUACCCCGUUGAAAGAAGUAUGGAAGAAAAUGGUGGAAAGAGAGUUGAUAGCACAAAAUUCAAGGGUCAGACCUCGAGAAGUAACGAAUUAUUGCGAGUUCCAUGAUCAAGAGGAUCAUGAGAUUCAGAAAUGCAGUGAAUUCAGGGCUCUGUUACAAGGAUUGACGGAUAAUAAGGAGUUGGAAUUCUUCGAAUAUGUUGGGAGCCCGGAAGAAGUAGAUGUGUGUACCUCCAAAGAAGGGUUGAUGAAGGAUGUUUACAAAGUCAACCACCCAGUGGUUAUCAUAUCACGUCCGAGAAUGAAUGAAGUCGGGGCACAAGUUGCACCAAAGGUUGUAAUCCAGAAGCCCGUUGCUUUCAUUUACAAGGAUAGCAAAAAGGUACCGUGGAACUAUAGCUGCAAUGUGACAUUCCCGGGAGAGGAGACCCCGAUUAAUACAUCAGAAGAAGUUUAAGAUGAGGGUUUUUAUACGCGCAGCAGAAGGCAUUAUACCCCAAAUACAAAAGUCGAACAGGUUAAAGAAAAAUCAUUAGCAAUUGAGUAAAAGAAAGAGAAGCCGGCGAGGCCUGAACCAACUGUUAAUGAAUCAGUGAUUGAAAAAGAAGCCAAGGAAUUCUUAAAAUUUCUAAAGCAGUGAAUAUAGUGUCGUAGAAUAGUUGCACAAACAGCCAGUGCGUAUAUCGGUACUGGCCUUACUUUUAACCUUCGAAACCCAUCGCAGCGCAUUGAUGAAAGUGCUAAAUGAAACUUAUGUUGCUAACAAUAUCUCUGUAAACAAACUGGACCGCUUAGUCAACAAUAUAAGUGCCGGCAACUUCAUAUUCUUCAAUGACGAUGAGGUACCGCCAGGGGGCUGAAGAUCAACUAAAGCUUUGCACAUCACGACUCACUUUAAAGGGUACACAUUACCGGGGGUAUUGAUUGACAAUGGGUCUGCACUGAAUGUCCUACCCCUAUCUACGCUGAGUAGGUUGCCAGUGGAUAGUUCCCAUAUGAAGACAUGCCAAAGUGUAGUGAGAGCAUUUGAUGGCACGGAAAGGAAGGUAAUGGGGAGAAUUGAAGUACCCCUCUUAAUCGGGCCGAGCACGUACGAGGUAAAUUUCAUGGUCAUGGACAUUAAGCCUUCGUAUAAUUGCCUAUUGGGGAGGCCAUGGAUACACUCAGCAGGGGCAGCCCUUCAUUGCUGCACCAGAAGUUGAAAUUGGUAACCAAAGGUCGGUUAAUAACGAUCAAUGCUGAAGAAGACAUCAUCGCAGUAAUAACCAGUGACGCUCCAUAUCUAGAGGAAAAUGACGAAGCAAUCGAGUGCUCUUUUUGAUCUUUGGAGUUUUUGAACGCGACAUUCAUUAUCGAAGGAAAUAGGAUUCCAAUGCGCAGGUUAUCUGAUACUACAAGAAUGGGACUACGACUAACUGUUGGAAAAGGGGCCCUACCCGGAAAAGGAUUCGGGAGAUACCUCCAGGGAAGGAUUAAUGUACCAAUGAUAAAGGACAAACAAGACCGUUUUGGGUUAGGGUUUAAGCCGGACAUGAAACAAAGAAAGAAGGAACUUGAGAAGAAGCAAGAAAGAAGGAGAGCGCGAUUGAGCGGGGGAGAAAUCGAAUGGGAACCAAUGAUCUUCCCCCAUAUAUCGAAGACUUUUGUGUCUGAAGGGGUCAUUAACUCUGUGUGAAAGACGUCGGGAAAAGAAAUUGUGGAAGGAAUGAUGGAGAGUUUGGACAUCAACGCCACAUAUGAAGAAGGAACUAGGAUAGAGGAUUUGUCGGGCAUUCGCCCCUAUGAGCCAGGAAGUGUUCUAAAUAAUUGGACUGCGGAAGAUAUUCCUGGAGUCUUUAGAACUAACUCAGAGUAAUGUCCAAAACACACUUACUACUCUAGGCCUAGGAGUAAUAAGUGUCCUUUUGUGAAAUAGGCUUAUGUUCGAAAUCGUUAUUUCAAUGAAAUGCAUCCUUUUGACUUAUUCCGUGCAAAUAUUCUUUUAUUCUUUCAUUCAUGAUCAUACCAUACAUAUUAUUGUUCUUAGAUUCUCUUGUUCUUUGUAUCUUCCUUCGCGCCUACAACAGGUCUCCAGAUAUCAAUGAUGUGAGUGACGUUGCUACUAAUUCAGAGUCUCCUUUUGAGCGGGAUAUGUGUCUAGAGGGAUCUCAGGUCUUUGAGGAUGACGAAGACUGUAACUUAUCCCCUGAUUUGUUAAGGAUGGUAGAACACGAGGAGAAACAGAUUCUACCCCACAAAGAGACUGUAGAAGUCGUGAACUUGGGAGAUGAACUAGAAAAGAAAGAAGUAAAGAUCGGAGCCUGCAUUACCACAAAGACAAAGCGGGACCUUAUUGAGUUACUCCAAGAGUUCAAGGAUGCCUUUGCAUGGUCAUAUCAAGAUAUGCCUGGGCUAAGUACUGACAUUGUGGUACACAGGCUCCCCAUCAAAGAAGAAUGCAAGCCAGUCUAGCAAAAGCUUUGAAGGAUGCCGCCCGAUGUUUUGUUGAAAAUAAAAGAGAAGGUCAAGAAGCAAUUUGAUGCUGGUUUCUUACAAGUAGUUAAGUACUCAGAAUGGGUAGCCAACAUCGUCCCCGUCCCUAAAAAAGAUGAAAAAGUACGGAUGUGUGUAGACUACAGAGACUUAAACAAAGCCAGCCCGAAGGAUAAUUUCCCGUUGCCUCAUAUUGACACCUUAGUGGAUAACACGGUAGGUUACUCACUCUUCUCCUUCAUGGAUGGUUUCUCGGGGUACAAUCAAAUCAAGAUGCAUCCUGAAGAUAUGAAUAAAACCACAUUUGUGACCAUGUGGGGAACUUUUUGCUAUAAGGUGAUGCCGUUCGGAUUGAAAAAUGCGGGAGCAACAUAUCAGAGAGCCAUGGUAACCCUAUUCCAUGAUAUGAUGCAUAAAGAAAUUGAAGUCUACGUCGACGACAUGAUCGGAAAAUCUUGGACUGAAGAAGAGCAUGUGCAAGUCUUGAGGAAAUUCCAGUUGAAACUCAAUCCCGCAAAAUGUACCUUUGGGGCCAGGUCAGGAAAACUACUAGGAUUCGUGGUCAGUGAAAAAGGGAUUGAGAUUGACCCAGAUAAAGUCAAAGCCAUACAAGAGUUACCUCCACCACGUACUCAAAAGGAAGUUCGGGGAUUCCUAAGAAGAUUAAAUUACAUCGCUCGGUUUAUUUCACAACUAACCGAGAAAUGUGACCCCAUAUUUCGUCUCCUUAAUAAACACAACCCUGGUGUUUGGGACGGGGAAUGCCAGAAGACUUUCGACAAAGUUAAGCAAUAUUUGUCUAAUGCCCCAGUGUUAACACCACCUAGUCCAGAUAAGCCACUGAUACUGUAUUUGACGGUAUUUAAAAAUUCUAUGGGAUGCGUGCUUGGCCAACACGAUGAAUCAAGAAGGAAAGAAAGAGCGGUAUAUUACCUCAGUAAAAAGUUUACUGAGUGUGAGACGAGAUACUCGUUCAUUGAAAAGUUGUGUUGUGCCUUAAUCUGGACAACCCGAAGACUGAGACAAUACAUGUUGUACCACACAACUUGGCUGAUUUCUAAACUGGAUCCUCUGAAGUACUUGAUGGAAUCAACUGUUUUAAAUGGAAGGUUGGCCAGAUGAAAAAUUCUACUUUCUGAAUUUGAUAUCGUCUAUGUAAAUCAGAAAGCUGUAAAAGGGAGUGCAAUAGCGGAUUUCCUAGCCAGUAGAGCUCUAGAAGAUUACGAGUCUCUGAACUUUGAUUUCCCUAAUGAAGAUCUGAUGUACGUGGCAACCACUGAAGAAGACCCUCAAGAAGGUCAUCCUUGGAAGCUAAACUUCGACGGAGCAUCAAAUGCUGUGGGUAACGGAAUCGGAGCAAUCUUGGUAUCCCCAGACGGUGAACAUUAUCCCUUCACUAGUAAAUUGGAUUUCGACUGCACAAACAACAUGGCAGAAUACGAAGCAUGCAUUAUGGGAAUACGCGCGGCCAUAGGGCGUAAAAUCAAGGUGUUAGAAGUAUAUGGAGAUUCUGUGCUAGUGAUUUAUCAACUCAAAGGUGAAUGGGAGACGAGAGACCCCAAGUUGAUUAAUUACUAAAGUCUAGUCCUUGAAUUAAUCAAAGAAUUUGAUAAUAUCGUCUUCUGCUAUCUCCCUCGAGAAGAGAAUCAGAUGGCCGAUGCCCUAGCAACUUUAGCCUCUAUGAUCAAGGUGAACAAACAAGAGGAUGUGAAACCGAUCCAAAUGAGUAUCUAUGAGGCUCCAGCUCAUUGUUACAACCUCGAAGAAGAAGAGGAAAAUGAUGAUCACCCUUGGUACCACGAUAUCCUGCGAUAAGUGAAGAAUCGUGAGUACCCCGACCAAGCUACUGAGAACGACAAGAGAACAUUGAGAAGACUGGCCAGUGACUAUGUCUUAGAUGGGGAGAUCCUAUACAAAAGAAGAAAGGAUCAAGUGCUGUUAAGAUGUGUAGACGUUAUUAAGGCUAAGAAAAUAUUGGAAGAAGUUCAUGAGGGCGUCUGUGGGACACAUGCUAAUGGCUUUACAAUGGCCAGACAAAUUAUGAGGUUUGGAUAUUAUUGGUCCACCAUGGAAGGAGACUGUAUUAACUAUGCCAAAAGAUGUCAUAAGUGCCAAAUCUAUGGAGACAAAAUUAACGUGCCUCCUUCAUCUCUGCAUAUUAUGACUUUUCCAUGGCCUUUCUCGAUGUGGGGCAUGGAUGUGAUUGGGCCAAUUUCGCCAAAAGCUUCAAAUGGGCAUCGUUUCAUCUUUGUAGUCAUUGAUUAUUUCACCAAAUGGGUGGAGGCUGCUUCAUAUGCCAAUGUCACUAAAUCAGCAGUUAGCAAGUUCCUGAAAAAGGAAAUCAUCUGUCGAUAUAGAAUGCCAGAAAGGAUCAUAUCUGACAACGUAUUGAAUUUGAACAACAGUACGAUAGCGGAUGUCUGCAGUCAGUUCAAGAUCAGACACCACAACUCGUCACCGUAUCGCCCGAAGAUGAACGGUGCAGUCAAAGCAGCCAAUAAGAACAUUAAGAAGAUUGUGGGAAAGAUGACAGAAACUUAUAAAGAUUGGCAUGAGAAGCUACCAUUUGCCCUCUAUGCUUAUCGAACGUCUGUCAGGACUUCCACCGGAGCAACGCCUUUCUCAUUGGUCUAUGGAAUGGAGGUAGUUUUACCUAUCGAGGUCGAGAUUCCUUCCCUCAGAGUUUUGUCAGAAGUAAAGUUGGAUGAAGCAGAAUGGAUCCAGUCCCGAUACGACCAGUUGAAUUUGAUUGAAGAAAAGAGGCUAAGGGGUAUCCGUCACGGUCAAAUGAACCAAAAGCGAAUGAUGCGAGCUUACAACAAAAAGGUUCGUCCUAGAGAAUUCCACGAGGGAGACCUAGUAUUGAAAAAGAUCCUCCCCAUACAGAAGGAUUUCAGGGGAAAAUGGAUGCCGAAUUGGGAAGGACCUUAUGUGGUAAAGAAAGCUUUUUCUGGAGGAGCAUUGAUAUUGGCCGAAAUGGAUGGCAAGACUUUACCCAAUCCCGUGAAUUCGGAUUCGGUUAAGAAAUAUUUCGCCUAAAAAUAUAUAUAUAUAUAAAUAAAAUAAAAUAAAAUAAUAAUAAUAAUAAAGAAAAGAAAAAGGAGAGGCCAGUGUGAAAACUCGCAAAGAGCACCUUGAGACCAAAGGGGUUUUGAAUUGAAAACCCGUAAAAGGGCAAUUCAAAUAUUGAUCAAAGGUGGGGCAUACGAUACUUAAAUUAACAAAGAGGAGAGAUGUUACAUCUUGGGGCAUCUACAAGGGUACUCUAGAUCCCUUAAACACAUAUUGGGCAAAAAAAGAGAGUCCUCAACAAGUUCGUGCAUAGAAGCUCAUGCUGCGAUAUCUGGGCACCUAUUUUCUUUCUAUUCAUUUUGUAUUCCAGCAAUAUUUGUUGUCCAUGAUUAAUCUAUUCCCCUCAAGUUUUGUUUCUGACAAAUUUCAUUCCUGUUAUUGUUGUGAUCUUUUUCAAGCAUUUUGCAUUAAAAUGAUGAUUAAUGGACUAAAGUCAUUUUUGCAAAAAGAGUUCUGCAUAUUACUCUGAAAGUCUCUAAAUAGUACAGGAACCUGAAACAGG
rnacentral:lncRNA from 1 species